UCACCAGGUAUCCAGAACUGCUGUUCU
rnacentral:piRNA from 1 species